rnacentral:rRNA from 1 species
GGUUGCGAUCAUACCAGCACUAAUGCACCGGAUCCCAUCAGAAACUCCGCAGUUAAGCGUGCUUGGGCGAAGUAGUACUAGGAUGGGUGACCCCCUGGGAAGUCCUCGUGUUGCAACCCCG